UCUGAACAGUUGAAUUCGUUGAAAAACACUGCAAGUAUCAAAAUUGUACAACACCAUAUUAUUCAUUUAUUUUUAAAAACAAUGUGUGAAUCAUGUUCAAAUAAAUAUCGAAGUGCAGAAGGCUGUACCGCGUUCUAUGCGUGUUUCUGUAUAGUAGUAGGGACUAUUUUCGUAAUCCUUAAUAUUAUAGGUGUUAUUUUUCAGUCUUUAAGACUUGCCUUAGCGGAUAGCACACCCAUUUUUCCGACAGACGCAAUUGUCAAAGUCGGUAUAAUAUUUCAGUUGAUUAUGGUAAUUAUAGAUACUUUGAUUUGCAUGACGUAUAUUUUAGCUGGGAUACUUAUACAGAGGGGAUUGAAAAAUAAUAAUAUGGGAAUGCUAAAGAACGGAAAGUGUCUCAGCUAUGUUUUUCCAAUAACAAACUUUGGGUUAAUUUUUCCAUUAGUUGUGCACAUUUGCUCCGUGCUCCGAAUUUGCGAUUAUAUGGACGAACGCCGGAAAUAAGAUAAAAUGAAAUAUACGAGAUUUUAAUGGUGAACCUUUGAUGACUGUCAUGACUCACAAUUAAUAAUGAUAGUUUAUAAUCUGGAACUGACUUAGACAGAUUUCGCAACCGAAUCAUACAAAUAGAAAAGGUUCCUAUUACUUGUACUGUUUUUAAAGUUGCUCUUCGGCCGAAGGCAAUAUGGGCACAGCACCAAUGUCGGCUGAAAAAAGUUUCUAGUUUCGACUUAAAUCCUUUCUGAGUUUGGAAAAUUUUGAAUGAAUAGCAACAACAACAAAGAAGUCUGCGUAUGUUCCGCUUUGCGUAAAAGUAAAAAUUCCAAUUACGUCCAAGUUGGUGUAAACAGCCCCGUAAAUACUGAAAGGUAUUGUAAGAAUUGGGAAACACAUCUGUGUUUGCGUGGAGACAAACUCUUCUCCUAGGCACUAUAAAUAUACACCCGUUCGGUCCAUUGACAUUAGUUCCCGAUCCACUAAGAACACCAUCGCAAUGCGCUCCCUCCUGGCUCUUUCCCUGGUCGUCCUGGCCGUGCUGAUCCUGCAGAGCAGCCAGGUUUCCUCCGCUUCGUCAACAACCUCCACCGAGGCCGCAACCACCACCACCACCACUGCCGCCACCACCACCACAACCACCACGGCCUCCUCCACCACCACCACCACCACAGCCGCCACGAAGAAGAAGCACCGACGCCGACGUGUCAUAAUCAGACGCAGGGUCGUCCGCCGGAAUGAAGGGGGCAGUCGCCGGAGGGCUGGACAAACCCAGAGAAGGGUCGACCGCCGACGGGUUGUCGUACGCGUUCGCAGGACGGCCAACUGAGCUAUCAACUAAAAAUACGUCUAUAAGAUUUUAUCAUGCUUAUGUUUACUCGAAAUAAAUCAAUCACUA